UUGCAGGCUGNAACCCGCCUGCAUGAAGUCGGAAUUGCUAGUAAUCGCGGAUCAGCAUGCCGCGGUGAAUAACGUUCCCGGGCCUUGUACACACCGCCCGUCACACCAUGGGAGCCGGUAAUACCCGAAGUCAGUAGUCCAACCUCGUGAGGACGCUGCCGAAGGUAGGAUUGGCGACUGGGGUGAAGUCGUAACAAGGUACC
rnacentral:rRNA from 1 species